GGCAGCCAUAGAAUUUCCCAGUAAAAUAGCACUAACAAAAUGCUUGCAAUCAAAGUGGAAACCUAUAAUUGAGAAGUAAACUACCUACAUUAGAUACAGACAUACAGAAAUUUUGCAAACAAAUACUUCAUAUAACAACUAGUUUAAUCUGGACAAUCAAAACGCAAAGCAGCAAUAUUUGUCAAGCUAGGCUAGAAGCUGCAAAGCAGAGUUCAUAAGCUUAAUUAAAAAAUGUCAUAAAUACACAACAUAAUAAAUUAACAGUGUUCGGAAAUCGAAAAAUAAAAAUGAAAAUUAGCAUACCCGCAUCUCAGAAUUGCCGAAGAAAGUGUCAAAUAACUUGCGAAAGGCCUGACCCAUUCCAAUUUCUCUAUUAUUGUCCCUUUUUUCUGUAACUAAAUACCAGAAAUCUGAAAGAAAAUUCAACGAUCGAGGAAAGAAAAGUAAAAUUUGAUGAUCAGAGAAAGGUAUGGUACGCGUGAUCGAAUUGAAUUUUGGAAGGGAAAGCGGUGUGCGAUAUUUGUCAAUGAACACCAGAAGCGUUUUGUUUUAUUAUUAUUAGACUUUUUCGAAACUUCA
rnacentral:lncRNA from 1 species